AGUGAACGCUGGCGGUAGGCCUAACACAUGCAAGUCGAACGGCAGCACAGUAAGAGCUUGCUCUUACGGGUGGCGAGUGGCGGACGGGUGAGGAAUACAUCGGAAUCUACUUUUUCGUGGGGGAUAACGUAGGGAAACUUACGCUAAUACCGCAUACGACCUACGGGUGAAAGCAGGGGAUCUUCGGACCUUGCGCGAUUGAAUGAGCCGAUGUCGGAUUAGCUAGUUGGCGGGGUAAUGGCCCACCAAGGCGACGAUGCGGAGCUGGCCUGAGAGGGUGACCGGCCACAGUGGGCAUGAGAUACGGGCCAGACUCCUACGGGAGGCAGCAGUGGGGAAUAUUGCACAAUGGGCGGAAGCCUGAUGCAGCAACGCCGCGUGCGGGAUGACGGCCUUCGGGUUGUAAACCGCUUGCGCCUGUGACGAAGCGUGAGUGACGGUAAUGGGUAAAGAAGCACCGGCUAACUACGUG
rnacentral:rRNA from 1 species